rnacentral:tRNA from 1 species
GCCGGGGUGGCGGAACUGGCAGACGCACGGGACUUAAAAUCCUGCGAGAUAAAUCUCUUACCGGUUCGAUUCCGGUCCUCGGCACCA